GUCUGGUUUGCCCUGGCUGGGGCCAGAAUCCUAGUGAACCCAAAUCCUAAUGGACUGAUGCUCUGACUUGGAGGAACAUGGAAAAUCACCCAGACCCCAGCGCCCUGGUGCUGGGGUCCCCAGUUCAAGACUUCUUCCUGAGAGUGCAGCCUCCUAGGCACCUCAGCAGGGAGUGGUGCCUCAGAUACAAAACAUCUGCAUCUCUAAAGGUAAUCCCGAUGGACAUGAUUUUCAGCAGAUGAUACUUUCCUCGGCCUUCUGGAAUAAGCUCUGUGGAAAAUGAACCCCAAGCAAGAGAUGUGCUGUAAUGUGUAUGUCAUAACUGAAUCAGGCGGCUGCCCAACGACAAGAAGCACAAAACUGGAGAGUAAAGAAAAGUAAAAGAAGAAAAGGGAUGUCCGCUUUGUUACCUCCAACCUCCUUGACUUGGGCUGCUAUCCCACCCCUGGAACCUGAGCAGGCUUGGGUCCCACUGCUGGACUGGAUGGGGGUAGAAACAGACAGCUGGACAGGGUGCCCUUAACUGAGGCCCCACUUAAACCUGUGUGGUCUGGUUUUCUUGGCUGGUUUGCUUGUGAACAAAGUCCCCAGUGCACCCAAAAGAUGGUGGUCCAACCAUCUGACCACCAGGACCUUGGAAAAGUAACCUAGC
ensembl:lncRNA